CGGGACGGGGUGGAGUAAUGUCUGGGAAACGUGCCUGAUGGAGGGGGGUAACUACUGGAAACGGUAGCUAAUACCGCAUAACGUCGCAAGACCAAAGAGGGGGACCUUCGGGCCUCUUGCCAUCGGAUGUGCCCAGAUGGGAUUAGCUAGUAGGUGGGGUAACGGCUCACCUAGGCGACGAUCCCUAGCUGGUCUGAGAGGAUGACCAGCCACAUGGAACUGAGACACGGUCCAG
rnacentral:rRNA from 1 species